rnacentral:lncRNA from 1 species
GGAACCCUGGACAUUGAACUCCCAGUCUUUCUGUCUGGUCUCUUAGCGCCGCCCUACUCUGCUGACUUCUGGAAGAGGCUGAUUGGCCUCCUAGUCCUGGUUUCCUGAGGUGGGACACCUCCAGAAGAGCUCCAGAAGAGAGGAUAAGUGAGUGAGAGACUGGAGUGGAAAGAGAAGCAGGAAAAGUGAGACUGAGCAGGCGCAGAUCUCAGCUGGUCCCAACAGCUUUGAACCCAGAGAGCUGGGCCUCUAGCAAGGCCUGUUCUCUAUUCCAGCAAAAGACCAACCUGCCCCCCAGGGUCUUGGCUAAGUACACAGCUGCCCUCUAGGCCAGAUACAGGGCUCCAGGGAUGUCUUGAGAAACAGGCCAAGACAAGGAGACGAUGUACUGGGGUGUUCCCUCUGGGACAUCUCCUUGGACCAAGCACUGGCUGGACCUGAAGUUCAGUCUAGCCUAUUGCCAUGCCCCCAUCUCUGGCUUACAAAUCACAGGCUCAGAUCCUAGAGGUGUAGCUGGCUAAUGACACCCAGGGUGCCACUUCAGGGCACAACCAAGGAAUACAUUCUUGGACCUGAUGCCAAAGCCAGGGAACUUGCAGGUGAGAAUGUGAGAGGCCUGGACUAUGGAAGACAGGGUCCAAGGCUCUGACUUCUUUUGCAUCCAGCUCUAGGCAGACUGGAGCACAUCUCCCACCAGACCCAUUGACC